rnacentral:rRNA from 1 species
GACGAACGCUGGCGGCGUGCUUAAUACAUGCAAGCCAAUUUGACUUUAGAUAGCAAUAUCGAAAGUAGGGUGGCGCACGGGUGCGUAACGCGUAGGUAAUCUGCCCUGAGGUCUGACAUAACCCGUCGAAAGGCGGGCUAACAUCAGAUGAUAUAUAAUCACGACAUCGUGGAAAUAUCAAAUCUUCGGAGCCUUGGGAUGAGCCUGCGUCUGAUUAGGUAGUUGGCGGAGUAAUAGCCCACCAAGCCUACGAUCAGUAGCUGGUCUGAGAGGAUGAUCAGCCACACUGGAACUGAGACACGGUCCAGACUCCUACGGGAGGCAGCAGUAAGGAAUAUUGCUCAAUGGGGGAAACCCUGAAGCAGCAACGCCGCGUGAAGGAUGAAAUACUUUUGUAUGUAAACUUCUGUAAGAUGGGAAAAUAUUCUCCUCGGGAGAAUUGAUUGUACCAUCAGAGUAAGCCCCGGCUAACUACGUGCCAGCAGCCG